AAUAAAUAAAUUGUUCAGUUAGUCAAAUAAAGUAUACAAUUAGUGCAGUAGUUUGAUCCCCCAAGGUAAUUAUUGAAUAUUAAAAUUCUGUCGUACAGAAUUUUGACAUAACAGGAUCCUCACCUUCCUAAAAUGUUUUGAAGUAAACAAAAAACAAAUUAAAUGAUGCCGCUUUAUCCUAUAUUCAGGGUGUCCAUGAUUAAUGGAAAUACUUCAUUCAGAUGCAAAUAGAUCCAUAAGUAUUUUGAUAUGUAUAUAACUAAGUAUGGUAAUAAUAACCUAAAAAUUAAAUAAGUGGGUACAAGGUUGGAACUAAUAUGCUAGUUUUCAGCAGUUGUGCUUUUUUUCUUUAUUUAAUAUGUUUGAAUUUUAUGGUAACAUCACUGUUUGAAUAUUUUCAAUAAGCUGGUUUGGAUAAUUGUUUCUGUCUUAGUUAAUAAAAUUGUUUGUUUAGUUUUAUACAAUAAAAUAAAGAGGUAGAUUUCUUUUAUAAUAACAGUGUUCUGCACAGAAUUGAUGCUUUGACUACACAGCUAAAAUGUUGGAUACACAUUUUAAAUAGUGUGCCCUUGGCAGUUAGCCCGGUAGUUGUACCCACAGGCUAUCUGACUAUGGCCUAUGGCUAUAAGUCGUUGCUAUGGAAAUGUGUGUACAAACAAAUUAUUAGUCAUCAAUACCUAUUACCAUAUGUAACCGCAUUCGAGAAAAUAUUUUUGGUUACUUGUUGGUGAUUAAGGAAUAUAUAAUUUCAGAAUAGUUGUAAACAAUGGUGUUGCUUGUGUUUUAUAAUUUCUGUUAGUGGUUUUAGUUGUAAACAAUAAUACUUUCUGUAUACUGAAUAUAAGAUAAGCUAUUAUAUAUUUAAGUAAUUUGCUUACUUUCUUUGAAUAAAAAAUGCGUUUCAAAUCAACAUUAUUAAAAGAUUCUGUGGAUCAAUCUGUUGUUUGUAUUGGUUGGACUGGAAACGAUGAAAUCAUAAUUGGAAGAAGCGACUCAACGUUAUCAAAAUGGAGCCAAGCCACAAAAGAAAAUAUAAAGUUGUGCGAUUUUUCUGACGAAUCGUCGUAUCCUAUAGAUUUGCAUAUGCUAUCUAGUACUCAGAGACUCACAAACAAGACAGCAGGGAUUGAGCAAAUUCUUAUAACUUCAUCAAAUGGCAAGUUGCAUUUAAUGAGCAAAAUCACUAAAAUCGAUAAAACUGUAGAUGCGCAUGAAGGUAAUGCAACGGUCGGUAAAUGGAGCCCUGAUGGUUCUACUUUAUUAACAGCUGGCGAAGACGGAUCUAUAAAAAUAUGGUCUCGCAUAGGAAUGUUGAGAACAAAAUUGGUCGUAAAUGCUGAGCCAAUAUUGUCGGCUGACUGGAAUUCUGAUUCAUCUAAAAUUGUGUAUACUCAACACGAUACGCUUUGUAUUAAAUCAUUAAAAGCGAACAUAAAAACAAUUAGAAUUAGAGCCCAUAGUGAUCUUAUACUCAAAGUUUCGUGGUGUAGAGCCAAUGAAUUGAUUGUAUCGGGAGGCGAAGAUUGUUACUAUAAGAUUUGGGAUUCAUAUGGAAAUUCUGUAUUUGUGAGUGAAAAACUCUCUCAUCCAGUAACUUCUCAUUGUUGGAAGUCUGAUGGAAAUUUACUAGUUGUUAGUUUUUACAAUACAAUUCUACUUUGUAAUCAAUACGGGACAGUCCUGUCGACAGAUUAUGUCGACUGCGGGAGCAUUUGUUCCCUUUGUUGGUCACCGGAUAGUACUCAAGUAGCUGCCGUGUGCGCUAAUGGAAGACUAAUGAUUUCUACUUUGGUCGAAAGAAGUUUUUCGAGACGGAAUUUUCAUUGUUUGAUCACGUCGCGGAAAACAAUGGCUGUGAAGGACGUAUUAAAUGAAACCAAAGAAAACCUCGAUUUCCCCGAACGUAUUGUCCACGUAGCUAUGGAGUUCAAUCAUUUAAUAGUUACCACAUGCACUCAGUGUUUUGUUUAUCAAAUGCCCAAUCUAAACACUCCGCAAAUUGUCAAUUUAAAAGACACAAAUGUGUUUAUGAUAAUUUUAACUGAAAAGUAUUUUGCUAUAUUAUCGAUAAGUCGAGUUGACAUUUACACAUUUGACUGUAAAUUGGUUUCGUCUCCUAAAUGGCCGAAUAUGCAAUGUGACUUAAUACAAAAGAAUCACGUAUCUAUAUCUGACCACAUAUUGGCUGUAAGAGAUCAACUGAAUGACAAAAUGAUACACGUAUUCGAAAUAGCUCCAUUGAAUACAUUGCCUACAAUUAAACAUGGAUUUUCAAUUACUGAUGUACAGUUGAUGACCACUAAAAUCCAAGAUAAACGUUAUUUGGCGUUUAUUGAUUCGAGCAUGAACAUAUUUAUCGUCCAUAUAGGGCAUAAAGAUUGUGCUAAAACAUACAAACUUGGUUCCAUGUUUCAUAGCAUGUGCUGGAACGGUCAAACAGAAUCGCUGGCUGCUUUGCAAUAUACAAAUCUAAUAGUGUGGUACGACCCUUUACUUUUACUGAACGACCAAAUCCUUGUGCGGAAGUCUCUAGAAAAGAGUGACUUGAGUUUUUACGGUAACAAGUUAAACAUCGAGUCAUACGAAGACAAUAUGGUGAGUCUGAUCAACACAGAUGGAGUCAAGGUGUUUGUCCAGGUGUCCCCUUAUUUAGAAGCUAUGAAGAAUUACAUCGGUGCGAGUAAAUGGAUGGAAUGCCGAACCGUUUGCCGAGACGUGAAGAAUGAAGCGAUGUGGGCACUUCUGGCCGGUUCUGCUGUGUUGGCUAAACAGCUGGACACUGCCGAAGAGUGUUUUCUUGCCAUCGGACAGAUUGAGCGAGCAACAUUUAUCCAACACAUAAAGACGAUAUCUGACAGAACAACACAGGAGUCAUCACUAGCUCUGCUAUCUGGAAAAAUAUCAGAAGCCGAAUCCAUUUUGCUGAGAAACGGAUCCACAUUUAAAGCUAUCAUGUUUAAUGUACAAAUACAUAACUGGAGUAGAGCAUUGGAAUUAGCAGUAAAACAUAAAAAAUACCUAAACACGGUUAUUUAUAAACGGAGGAAUUAUUUAGAUUUUUACAAAAAAGAAGAAACAAAUGAUAAGUUUUUAAAAUACUCUAAUAUAGAAAUUGAUAACGAAGAAGUCUUGAAAGAAAUCGAAAACGAAAAAUAAGGUUCUUUAAGUAUGAGAAUUUACUUAUUCUAUGAUGUAUGAUGUAUGCGUAUGAAUAGAAUUACAAGAAGUGCUACUGACUGAAAUUACAGCUUAUUAAAGGCUUAGUUGAGUGCUUAAUUACUAAUUAAUAAUUAGGCGUAUAAUAUAAUAUACUAUAUAGGCAAAAUAUUAAAAAGAGUAUGAAUGAUACAGCCUAUAAUAUAAUAAUUAGGUAUGUCAUUUAUUGAUGGAUGUAUCUACAACCAUCUCACCUCUACCCUGGUUUUAUAACCUCAAUCUCUCCAGGAAAAGUAUAGUAUCGUUCUCCCGUCUCCGCUUUGGCCACACCCUACUUCCUUCUCAUUCCUUCAAACUUUCAUUAAACGAUUCUUCCCUCUGUAUACUCCACAAUGACUCAAUUAUUUGUGACAUAACCCACCUUAUCUUCAACUGCCUUAGUCUAUCACAACAAUAUAACCACCUAUUUUUUCUUUUCAACACCUCCAACAUCCCUUAAAACACCAAAAAUAUCCUCUCUUGCCAGCAAAAAAAUAUCAUUGAUAAUAUAUUAUCCUUUUUUAACCACACAGACUUUUUAAUUUAAUUUCUCUUGUCUUUUUUGUUAAUAACUUAUAUCUUAUUAUUACUAUAUAUGUUUCGAUCAUACUUGUUAAUACUUAACUGUUGAAAUUAAUUGUAAAUAACAAAUGAACAAAGUUUAAGAAGAAAAAAAAAUUAAUAGAUGUACCCCCGUGUAUAGACCCUCUUUUUGGUAAUAAAUAACUGACAGUACCCUCUGAAGUCUUCAUACAAUAAUAUAUUUCGAUAAUUCAUUAAUUCCAUACACAGUUAAGGCGAAAAGAUUAUAUACAGAACCUGAUUUUAAAAAAUAGAGGCCUUGUAAACUAUUUAUAUAUUGCUUUGGAGGCCUUUUUAACUAAAGAUACAUCGGACAAAUUAAUUAUAAUUAAUAAAUGUUAUUUAUUGUGUAGCAUAAUGAUUGAUUGCCAGUCAUUAUGACAAAGAGUCCAGUUUUUCUUAUAGUGUUAAAGAAGAGCCCACUCGAGUUUUAUACUUUUAAAUUUUAUGAGUAGAAAAUAAAAGUUCACUAUUGUCUAUUACAAUUUGUUUAUGGUAUAUAAUUCAAAAAUAUUUUUUGUAAGAAAUAUUGAAAUUAAUGCUCAUAAAAUUGGAAUUUUCUUAUAUAGAUAAGGUAGGUAAGAACUCCAGAAAGAAAAGCUUUCAAAAAUAUUUAUUUUCCUCGAAGGUCUGAAUUAAGGUAUAUACUGUUAAAGUGUUACGGCCUACAUGACUCCUCGGCAGUGGGAGUUGGAACCUACCUUUACAGGCUACAACUUAUAUGUACCUAUAUUAUAGAGUAUAGCCUAUGGACCAGCGUUUCCCAAACUAACGGUCGGGAAAUUUUUUUGAUAGGUUCGACUCGCGAUUACGGAUUACGGUUAUUUUAGCCUAAAUUGAUACCUCUAUAUUGUAUAAUAAUUAUAAUGUGAAGUCCAAUUAGUAUUCAAGUAUUGUAGAAUGUACAUCGUUUUUACGUUGGAUAUUAAUAUAUUUUUAGUAAUCUUAAUAUUAUUUUAUUACGAUUAUGGAAUAUUUGUUACCUAUCUUAUCGGUAGGUAUGAUAAAAUUGAUUAAAAUAAAAAUAUUAUAUGUUUAUGGCAUACUUGAUUUUGUUUUUUCUUUAUAGAGGGGGGAGGGGUCGUAUGCCCAAUAAAGUUUAAAUUUAGAGGUCGCUAUUGCAAAAAGUUUGGGAAACACUGGUAUAGACUAUAGCUAAUGUUCCUGUAGGCAUAGUUUUUUUAAAGGUAUUGGCGUAUUGCUGAAUUCUUGACGGUUUUUUUUUUUUAUUAAUUUUAAACAUAAGACAUUCCUAGCCAAUAAAGGCUAUCCAUGUGUAUUUAGUGAUGUUUGA